CCCUGGAAUUAGGAGACAUGGAAGAAAUGGUGGUGGAAGAAGAAAACAGCACCUCCUGCGAUGUUUGCCUGCUGGAAGCUGAGUAGAAUGGAAAAUGUCACAUGUGGUCCUAUCCUUAAAUUCCCUCGAAAACUCAUGGGAGUUGGGGAAAGCAAAGGUGUAUUGCUCAGGGGGGUUUUAAAUUCUCUGCAAGCAAGAGCAAGCUGCCACUGUCUCAGGGAUAUGAUGGCUCCUGAAGACACAACUCUUUGAAGAAAACAUGUUUUAGCAGCUGGUGGAUUAAUGCAUGAUGCAACCAAGCUGGGGCUCAGAAGGAAAACAGACAGAAAAAGCAAAUGUUUAAAAGCUGAGAGUAUGUCCACAUAUUUAAGUUCUUCUUCUAGUGAAGUUUGGAAGCCCUUGAGACUGAUAUCCCAUGAGAAUUCAGAUUCACAGCAGGAUGUGGAGCAGCAACCAUCUUGCAGCCUGGUCAAGCUGUGAUGAAAAAACAAAGAGGGAAAAUCCUUGUUCCCGUAAUCCUCAUGCACCACAGCUGAUCUGUGUAAUCCCGGAAAAGGUUAUUUUGAAGAUACAGGCACUGUUAAUAACUUAUUAAAAAAAAAAAAAAGGCAUGGAAAAAAAACAAAACACACCUGUUUUGCGAUAAAUGUUAUUGAUCUGUUCCUUAUCUUACACAGAGCCUGACUCAUGGGAUUGUAACAGCAAUACUUUUCAAGCUGGACCUUUCAACUUGAAGUAGAUUUCAAGCAAGGAGAUGUUUCUCUAACCCCUGGGACUGGCAAGGGACCUCAGGUACAAGCAGAAUUGGAUGUACAGAAGCCUCACGGCAUCCAGAAUAUAGACAGAGAACCCCUAAUAAGCUGCAUAGCAAGGGCCCCCUGACAUGUGUGGAAAGAGGCACAAGUGCUCCUUCUCCCGCCUGGAGGUGGUCCUCAUCGUUCUCCUGGCGCUGAUGAUAGCGGUGACCGUGGCACUCCUCGUUCUCCACUUUCUCACCCAAGAGAACAGCUCCAGCAAUGAUAAUGAUGACCCACUACCAACCCAGAAACCAACAAAUGGUGUCUCAGGAGGCUACUUAUUGGGUGCAGGUCGAGCAGAUUGUACAGGGCCAGUAGCAGAAAUUCCUCUGAUGGGUUACGCCAAUCCUGACCAGGUGGGCGGUGGGCUCCUCACACGCCUCUACAGCCGAGCCUUCAUCGUGGCAGAGCCCAACAGCUCCAAGCGAGUAGUGUUUGUUAGCAUCGACAUAGGGAUGGUGUCUCAGCGACUGAGGCUGGAGGUGCUCAAGAAACUGAAGAGCAAGUAUGGUGAGCUGUACCGACAGGACAAUGUCAUCCUCAGCGGCACCCACACGCACUCGGGUCCUGGUGGCUACUUCCAGUACACACUUUUCUGGUUCACUAGCAAAGGACUGAUCAAACCAUCCCUUGAUGCUAUUGUGAAGGGCAUUGUAAAGAGCAUUGAUAUAGCACAUCAGAACCUGAAAAGAGGAAGGCUUUUUAUAAACAGAGGCACUGUAGAAAACAGUCAGAUCAACCGAAGCCCGUACUCAUAUCUCCAGAAUCCAGCAUAUGAGAAAAGCAGGUAUUCAUCCAACACGGAUAAAGAAAUGGUGAUUCUGAAGAUGGUAGAUGAGAAUGGACAUGACCUGGGCCUCAUCAGCUGGUUUGCCGUGCACCCAGUCAGCAUGAACAACACAAACCGUCUUGUGAACAGUGACAACGUGGGCUACGCGUCUCUCUUGUUUGAGCAGGAGAAGAACAAGGGCAUGCUUACUGGAGAGGGAUCUUUUGUUGCUGCCUUUGCAUCUUCCAACCUGGGAGACGUGUCACCCAACACCAAAGGCCCGUUCUGCGUAAACACAGGGGAAUCGUGUGACAACCCACAGAGCACCUGUCCCGUGGGGGGGGCAGCGAUGUGCAUGGCCAUGGGUCCUGGUACUGAUAUGUUCGACAGUACAAGAAUUAUAGGGCAAAAUAUCUACUCAAAAGCAAAGGAGCUGUAUGCCAAUGCUUCCCAAGAGAUCACAGGACCUCUCAGCUCAGCUCACCAGUGGGUGAACAUGAGUGACGUCCAGGUGGAGCUCAAUGCCACGCACACAGUUAAGGUCAAAACAUGUAAACCAGCCUUGGGAUACAGCUUUGCUGCAGGGACUAUUGAUGGAGUGGGGGCUUUCAACUUCACACAAGGCUCGGUAGAAGGGGACCCAUUUUGGGAUCAAAUCCGUGACCAGCUCCUGGGACAGCCAUCCAAUGAAACGAAAGCUUGCCAUGAACCCAAGCCGGUUCUCUUUAGCACUGGAGAGAUGACAUGGCCUCAUCCAUGGCACCCUGAUAUUGUGGAUGUUCAGAUCGCUACCAUCGGAUCAUUGGCAAUUGUUGCGGUUCCUGGAGAGUUUACGACCAUGUCUGGACGCAGACUACGGGAAGCUGUUAAAUCUGAAUUUGAUUCUCAUGGUACAGCAGGAAUGGAUGUCGUAAUUGCAGGGCUGUGCAAUGUCUACACCCAUUACAUUACCACCUAUGAGGAAUACCAGGUUCAGCGAUAUGAGGCAGCAUCGACUAUUUAUGGGCCACAUACCCUUUCUGCCUACCUUCAGCUGUACAGAGGACUUGCAAGGGCUAUUGCUACGAACACGGUUCAGGAUUUGCCGAGUGGCCCAGAGCCCCCAUUUUUCAAUAUAACUAACUUCACCUUGGUGCCUGCUGUCACUUCCGACAGGACACCGGUGAAUAAGAAAUUUGGGGACGUGCUUCAAGAAGUGAGACAACACUAUCGAGUGGGAGAAGUUGCUAAAGUAACUUUUGUAAGUGCCAACCCUAGGAAUUCUGCAGAGAACAUGACCUGAACACAACUUCCUGACAGUGGAGACAUAUGUCAAUGGUUCAGGAGAAUGGCAGGUGGUACGGAACGAUGCCUCCUGGGACACCAGGUUUUACUGGACCAAGGGAUCAUUUGGUCGGAGCAAUGCGACGAUUGAAUGGCACAUCCCUAAUGACACAGAGCCUGGCAUCUACAGGAUACGGUACUUUGGGCACUCCAAGAAAACUGGCACUACACUCAUGCCCAUUAAUCCAUUUGAAGGCGUAUCCUCAACGUUUGAAAUCACAAGUCUGUAGGUGAUCUUGUUCAUUAAAGGAAUUGUUUCCUUUGAACAGUAGAUUUGAUAUCUGUGAUGUUGCAAUGCACACUGGGGAGUUUUCUUGUGGAAUAUGUGACUCUAUACAUCAUUGCUGUCCCUUGUGUGCUGCUCGUUAUCCUUUGCUGUGCAAAGCUUAGCUUCUGCAAAAUUUUGACUUUUACCUGCAAUUCAACCUUACUAGUUCGAUAUAUUUUCAUUCAAGCUUUUCCAGUCCUGGAUGGAUCUCAUUACAGUUGAUUCUUAUUAUAAUAAAAAGUUAACUGUUUUUCUUUAGUCAUUGAUCAGAUGCUUAUUGAUUGUGAAUAGGCUUUCAGAGGGAAUUAUUGCAUGACAGGAGCUAAUCCAGACCAUAAAAUAGUCCAUAAAAUUGAGCCCAGUCCAUAAAGCUGGGAAGAGCUGCUGAAUUCACAAGACAUCAAAAGAAAAGCCUCCUCAAUUGUGCUCAAAGUAAUUGACAAAGCUGGCUUACUAGGACGGUAAGUGAAAAAAUGGAUAGAUACUUAUCAGAAGGGUUUGAAUAUUAUUUCAUUUAAUCAUUCUGUUUCAGGACAUUUUGGUGAUUCACUCUCUGAGUUAAAAAACAACAGAUGGGGCAACAGAAUGGUUUUCCAUAAAUCAGUUGUCUUGGCUUCACAGGCUGUGUAGGGCCCUACCACAGAGUUCUAGUGUAAGGUUAGCCAUGUUACAGAGGUCAGCCAUUUGCAAAAUAAAAUAUUGAAGCAGUCUGCAGAUA